rnacentral:rRNA from 1 species
GACGAGCCACACAAACGUUAUUCGGAAUCACUGGGCUUAAAGGGUGCGUAGGCUGCGCAGCAAGUUGGAUGUGGAAUCCUACAGCUUAACUGUAGAAGUGCAUUCAAAACUGCUGUGCUCGAGGGAGACAGAGGUGAGCGGAACUGAGGGUGGAGCGGUGAAAUGCGUUGAUAUCCUCAGGAACACCGGUGGCGAAAGCGGCUCACUGGGUCUCUUCUGACGCUGAGGCACGAAAGCUAGGGUAGCGAACGGG